rnacentral:rRNA from 1 species
UAAGGAAUAUUGGUCAAUGGACGCAAGUCUGAACCAGCCAUGCCGCGUGGAGGAUGAAGGUCCUCUGGAUUGUAAACUUCUUUUAUCGGAGAAGAAACCCCAACAUUCCUGUUGGGUUGACGGUACCCGAUGAAUAAGCACCGGCUAACUCCGUGCCAGCAGCCGCGGUAAUAAGGAGGGUGCAAGCGUUAUCCGGAUUCACUGGGUUUAAAGGGAGCGUAGGUGGGAUGGUAAGUCAGUGGUGACAUCUCCGGGCUUAACCCGGAAACUGCCGUUGAUACUAUCAUUCUUGAAUAUUGUGGAGGUAAGCGGAAUAUGUCAUGUAGCGGUGAAAUGCUUAGAUAUGACAUAGAACACCGAUAGCGAAGGCAGCUUGCUACACAAUUAUUGACACUGAGGCUCGAAAGCGUGGGGAUCAAAC